AUAAACUGGCUGGACUUAUAAUAAAAAUAGAAUGAUACAGAGAAUAUUAGCAUGGCCCCUGUGCAUGGACGUGAAAAAUUAUAUAUAGCGGUGGUGUGUGGAU